GAUGAACGCUGGCGGCGUGCCUAAUACAUGCAAGUCGAGCGAACAGACGAGGCGCUUGCUCCUCUGACGUUAGCGGCGGACGGGUGAGUAACACGUGGAUAACCUCCCUAUCAGACUGGGAUCACUUCGGGAAACCGGAGCUAAUACCGGAUAAUAUAUUGAACCGCAUGGUUCAAUAGUGAAAGACGGUUUUGCUGUCACUUAUCGAUGGAUCCCGGCCGCAUUAGCUAGUUGGUAAGGUAACGGCUUACCACGGGGACGAGGCGUAGCCGACGUGAGAGGGGGAUAGGCGACAUGGGAAGUGAGACACGGUCCAGACUACUACGAGAGGGAGCAGUAGGGAAUCUUCCGCAAUGGGCGAAAGCCUGACGGAGCAACGCCGCGUGAGUGAUGAAGGUCUUCGGAGCGUAAAACUCUGUUAUUAGGGAAGAACAAAUGUGUAAGUAACUAUGCACGUCUUGACGGUACCUAAUCAGAAAGCAACGGCUAACUACGUG
rnacentral:rRNA from 1 species